rnacentral:rRNA from 1 species
GGGUCAGUAGGUUGGUCGUGCCACCGGUACGUACUGGUCUCACUGAUUCCUCCUUCCUGAAGAACCGUAAUGCCAUUAAUUUGGUGUUGCGGGGAAACAGGACUGUUACUUUGAAAAAAUUAGAGUGUAUAAAGCAAACUAACGCUUGAAUACAUUAGCAUGGACUAAUGAAAUAGGACGAUCGAUCCUAUUUUGUUGGUUUCUAGGAUUGACGUA